rnacentral:rRNA from 1 species
AACGAACGCUGGCGGCAUGCCUAACACAUGCAAGUCGAACGAGACCUUCGGGUCUAGUGGCGCACGGGUGCGUAACGCGUGGGAACCUGCCCUUAGGUUCGGAAUAACUCCCCGAAAGGGGUGCUAAUACCGGAUAAUGUCUUCGGACCAAAGAUUUAUCGCCUUUGGAUGGGCCCGCGUUGGAUUAGCUAGUUGGUAGGGUAAAAGCCUACCAAGGCGACGAUCCAUAGCUGAUCUGAGAGGAUGAUCAGCCACACUGGGACUGAGACACGGCCCAGACUCCUACGGGAGGCAGCAGUGGGGAAUAUUGGACAAUGGGCGAAAGCCUGAUCCAGCAAUGCCGGGUGAGUGAUGAAGGCCUUAGGGUUGUAAAGCUCUUUUACCCGGGAUGAUAAUGACAGUACCGGGAGAAUAAGCUCCGGCUAACUCCGUG